rnacentral:rRNA from 1 species
UACAGAGGUCUCAAGCGUUUGUUCGGAUUCAUUGGGCGUAAAGGGUGCGUAGGCGGCGCGGUAAGUCGGGUGUGAAAUCUCGGAGCUUUAACUCCGAAACUUGCAUUCGAUACUGCCGGUGCUUGAGGACUGGAGAGGAGACUGGAAAUUUACGGUGUAGCGGUGAAAUGCGUAGAUAUCGUAAGGAAGACCAGUGGCGAAGGCGGGUCUCUGGACAGUUCUGACGCUGAGGCACGAAGGCCAGGGGAGCAAAACGGG